UACGGAGGAUGCAAGCGUUAUCCGGAAUUAUUGGGCGUAAAGCGUCCGCAGGUGGUUUAUCAAGUCUGCUGUCAAAGCGCGAGGCUUAACUUCGUAAAGGCAGUGGAAACUGAUAGACUGGAGUGCGGUAGGGGCAGAGGGAAUUCCCGGUGUAGUGGUGAAAUGCGUAGAUAUCGGGAGGAACACCAGUGGCGAAGGCGACUACCUGGCCUGUUCUUGACGCUGAGGCGCGAAAGCUAGGGGAGCAAACGGG
rnacentral:rRNA from 1 species